AGUGAAGCCAAGGAUCAAACCUGCAUCCCCAUGGAUAUUGUCAGAUUUGUUUCUGCUGAGCCACGACAGAUUUUCUACUUUAAACAUGGUCUUUUUUUUGAGGCAGUGGAGGGGUUGAUGGUGGAGAAGUGACCAAAAUUUCAGAGGGAACAUGGAAUGGUAAAUUCCUUAAAGAAUAAAGGAUACAAUUUAUGUAUUUGAUUACUAGCUGUAAAAUGGACACAUUUUGUCCAGGGAACCAGGCAAUUGAACUCUUGGCAAGAUUCCAUCAUCACAUAUUCAAACUGGUGGUGGAGGUUGCAGUAGCCAAUGGCCAGCGCUGUGGAGGACAGGCCUGUGCUGUGUAUUUUUGUGGAUUCUGUGUUAAUAUCUGGGCAAGACCCUUGGUGUUGAGUGCCAAGGACAGAACAGCUCUUGGCAUAGGUGUUGCUUUGACGGAGAUGAAGGGAGGGUGCUGGAUAAUAUUUGUUAAUUUUUGUUCUUCUGUUUUAUUUUCCUGAAAGCACACAGUACAAGAGUUUUUGCUUGGUAUGCAGUUCCUCCAGCUCCAUGGGAAUCACAGGGUCAUCACUGUCCCAUACAGUCAGGGCAUAGGCCAAUGCAGAGUUAAAGCCCUGGAGCCGCUGAUGGCUGGCAGUGUCCCAGAGGGGCCUUCUGUACUGCACUCAAAGGCCCCCAGCACCGCUGGGCCCCUGAACCCUCGGACAGUUCUUCUGCCAGGUGUGCUCCACUCCUGGGUGGCAGGGCCCAUGGGUGGGGGGUGGAGCGGAGAGCCAAGUGGCCGCUGAAGUCCCUGCAUCCCAGUUUCAUUCUUAAGCAUCUGCGUGUGUCCCUUUCUGGGAGCCCUGAGCUCCUGUUCUCAGUCUCACAACCCUCUUCUCUUGGCUACAUUUGACAAAUUAAAAGCUAUGACGGAAUGACUUCCUUAUGUCCAUUAUUACGCAAUUCACACUGUAGAUGCAGAGUUUCCGAAGAGAGUUCUUUUUAAAUUUUUAUAUUGUAGUUUUUAACAUUUAUUUUUUGAAAGAGUAAAAUAAGAAUAUGGUUAAAAAUCACCAAGCAAUACCAGAGUACAUACUAUAAAGUGGAAACUAAGGGUCCCCCCACCCAACUCUUUCCUCCCCAGUCCCACUUCCCAGAGAUCAUUCCUCACUUCUCAGAGCAGCAGUGCUGUUGAUAAACAAGCAUGACUAUCUGUUUUUAAACACAAGAUGAGGAGGUAUGAUAUUCUUGACUCUGCUCAUUUUUCCAACAAAUAGCGUCUCAGAAAUCUUUCCAUUAUUGGUGCAUCUAAUUCUACUCCUGCUACAAAUUCAGUAUAGGUGGAGGUACCAGGAUUUAUUGACUUAGCCCCCGUGAUGGACAUUUCUGUUGUUUCCAGCUCUUUUGCUGUUACAACGUAUGAUGCAAUGAAUAUCUUUGUACCAGCGUGAAUUGAUGUGUAAGAUGAAUGCCUAGAUACAAGUGGGCGUCUAUGUAAGAUGGAUAUGAUAAACAUUGCCAAACUGUCCUCCGUAAAAGUUGUAGGAAUUUUUUUUCUCACCAACAAUAUGUUAGAAAGGUUGUUUGCCUGUACCUGCUUUAAUAAACAAAGAUUAUAAAAUAUUUUUACAUUUACAGUUUGAGAGUUUUCAGAUUAAAAGGCAUCUUAUUUGCAUUUCAUUAGUCAUUAGUGAGGUUGAGCAUAUUUACAUAUGCUUAAAGGCAAUCUGUAUUUCCUUUCUCUCUGAAAAUUGCCCAUGUGUCUUAGUAGAUGGUUAGUAUUUUUCUUUCUGGUUUGCAUAAAUACUUUUUAAAUAGUAAAGACUUUAGCCUUUUCAUGCAUGUUGAAAAAACGUUUGCAAUUUGUCACUUAUGUUUUGGCAUUUAGGUGAUAUUGUUUGGCAUGGUAAAAACUAAUUUAUGUAGUCAAAUCACACAGUUUAUUAUUUCUAGGUUUUGUUUCUUGAAAGGCUUCUGGGUGUAUGGUUUAAAUGGUCAUCCACAGAGAUCUGGGUUAUCUUUCUAUCUUCCUACAGCACCUUGCAGAAUGUGAAUCUCAAGGAUUUAUUAAAGUGACUUCUGUUUCACUCCAGUUAAAAUGCAAUCAAUUUGAGUCCUAAAGAGGAGCCCAGAAUGCUCUUGUCCUAGUCCCACAGGCCCAUUUAUCCCCCUCUCCCUCCCCAACCUGUGUCACUGAAGUCUGCCUCUUCCUCCCCCAGAGGUUAAUCUACCUUGUCCCACAAGCCUUCUCCCCCCACCCCCACACCCCCGCCCCCACUUGCUGGUCUCUGGUGAACCAGAGAAUCUGGCCUGAAACCCAAAUGGGGGUUGUAGGCAGGAACCCAUCUCAGUCUGAGCACAGUGUUGUACCUGUUUUCGUUUCUAAAAUUAUUGAACGCAGUAUCAGAGGUUUAUGAUGUUACACAUAUUCUUUUCUUCCUCACCUCUUACUACUAUUAAAAAUCCUGUUAUGCUCUGGAGCCCAGGACGUCUGUCUACAUCCAUCACCAGGAAGCUUAUUGCAGUAUUGUGCAAUUUGGCCCUAAUUCUGCAGCACUCGAGAAAAUCAGACAGACCUUAAUGGAACUUUUAUAAUGUUCAAAGCUUCAAAGAUGAGCCACUUGUACCCCUGCCAUGGAUGAGCUCACAGUUCCAAUGGAGAAGACACAGGAGCAAACUGAACUGACCAUAGGAUAUGGGACCAAAUCAUAUGAACACUGUCAAGAGCUGACCCCAAAUUUCUCAGAAGUAGGAAAACAUUCAAUGGGAGUGACUGCCUGGGUAUUGGGUUGACCCUGUGACCGUGCAUCGUUAUGCAGAUAACAUCCCUCUGUACCACUAGAUGUUUGGCAUCUUACAUUUCAUUUUGGAUGGACAAGACUACUGGAAUAGGAAUUACUUGGAACUGGUUCAUUAUGUAUUAGUAGGAUAUUGGUACAUACUGCAUUGGGAAGACUAAUGACAGCCUUGGGGGGUGUCAUAGCUUGAUAGUUUAAAGAUUAGCUUCAAGUCAUUAAAUUUGUCCAGUCAUUUAUUUAGAGUGAUUAUUGCUUGUAAAUUAUUGUUAUUUUUAAGAGAACUUUUUCUCUCUUUGCCUGGAUCAACAGCAAUUUGUAAAGAUUUCAGUAUUGAAGAGUCACUGCUUCCUAAUUACCUGUACAUUUUCAGCCCAGGCUUGAUCUAUUUUAUCUUGGGGCAUGGUGGGUAUGGACUUCAGUUUGUCUGCCGAUGUCCAGUCCUACGUGGUCUAAAUCACAUUAACCCUGACACAGGAAGGGCUCAAGGAUUCCAUUCCCAUCCCACCCAAGGUGGGAUUAAUCAGUUCCCUUUUUCUCAAGCAUUUAAGUGGCCUCCUCUCGGGAAGAGGCAAUAAGUGGAUGACUGAGGUUAAAACCUAGGUUCUGGAGUCCAACAAACCUGGGCCAGCCAACAACAAACUUUGUAAGUUUAGGCAAACAGUUCACCUUCCCUGCCUCAGUUUUAUCAUCUGCAAAUUGGGCAUACUAACAGAUUGCUGUGAAUAUUAAGUGCCACUAUGUCUAUAAAACAUAGAAUGGUUGCUAUUAGUUGUUGUUAACUGACAGAAUUGGUGGAAAACCAGGUACUAAAAGUGGCUUCUCCUAUAUAGUUUUUUAUUUUAAAUUAACAUUAUUUCUUAGAACAACUUUAGGUUUACAGAACAAUUGACCAUAGAGAGCUGAGAUUCCCCACAUGUUCUUCACUAAUGUCUUCCACUAUGUGUUUUAUUGAUAAGCCAACAUUGAUACAUUAUCAUAAACUAAAGUCCAUAGUUUAAGGUCCAGUCUUUGUGUUGUACGCCUGUGGGUUUCGAUGACAUAUAAUAUCAUGUAUCCAACAUCCUAGCAUUGUACAGAAUAAUUUCCCUGCCGUCGAACCCCUCUCUGUUCUGUCUAUUCAUCCCUCCCCUCCCCCCAACCCUGGCAACCAUUGAUCUUUUUUUUAAGUUUAAUUUAUUGAAGUGUAGU